AAGUCGUAACAAGGUUUCCGUAGGUGAACCUGCGGAAGGAUCAUUAUUGAAUAAACCUGCAGGCUGUUUUGCUGGUCCUCUGCCAGAGGGCAUGUGCACGCUUGUCAUCUUUAUUUCUUCCACUGUGCAUGUAUUGUAGACCUUGGUAGUUUUGGGAAUUGUUCGAGUAAAAUCGAAUAGAUUGAGGACUGCUGUGCUUCAGCUUUACCUUGUAUUUCCAGGUCUAUGUUAUUUUAUCAUUAAAACCCUAUGUUUGAGAAUGUUGAAAUUGGGUCUUUUGUACCUAUAAAGUUAAAUAUA
rnacentral:misc_RNA from 1 species